CAUGUCUGUUUUAGCUGUAGCUAGCCUCUGUCGCAUGGUAUUAAGAACAAAAUUCAACUUAUGGCACUCAUCUGAUGGAAGGGCAACUAGCAAGUUCUUUGGGAACUGUGAAUUUAAGCUUCCAGGAGCAUCAAUUAUUUUUUGAGUUUCAGCAACCUCAGGAAGGACAAGGGAAUCAUCACCAAACAAAUUACCUACCCCAAGAUUUGAUAUUUCACUAGCUUUUACAGAACUUAAGUCACUCCCAAUACUCUCUGUUGAUAGUCUGCGGACAUGACCAUCCAAUCUCUGAUACUCUAGUCCAUGUAAAGGCUCAUUUCCAUCUCCAAAAAAAGCUGUAGCUCUAGAUUUGUUUUCAGCAUGUUCAUCUCCACUUACAAUAUUUUUCUCUCUUCCAGCAUACAUUUUCCUCCAGGAAAACUUUUCUAGGUUCUCCAGAAUAGAUUUCCUGUUAAAUAUACCAUAUUUAACAG
rnacentral:misc_RNA from 1 species